GUGGGGAAUAUUGGACAAUGGGCGAAAGCCUGAUCCAGCCAUGCCGCGUGUGUGAAGAAGGUCUUCGGAUUGUAAAGCACUUUAAGUUGGGAGGAAGGGCAGUAAGUUAAUACCUUGCUGUUUUGACGUUACCGACAGAAUAAGCACCGGCUAACUUCGUGCCAGCAGCCGCGGUAAUACGAAGGGUGCAAGCGUUAAUCGGAAUUACUGGGCGUAAAGCGCGCGUAGGUGGUUUUGUAAGUUGGAGGUGAAAUCCCCGGGCUCAACCUGGGAACUGCCUCCAAAACUGCAUGACUAGAGUACGGUAGAGGGUAGUGGAAUUUCCUGUGUAGCGGUGAAAUGCGUAGAUAUAGGAAGGAACACCAGUGGCGAAGGCGACUACCUGGACUGAUACUGACACUGAGGUGCGAAAGUGUGGGGAGCAAACAGGAUUAGAAACCCUAGUAGUCC
rnacentral:rRNA from 1 species